CAGAGAAUUGGAGUCUACACAUCUGGAAAUAACGCUCACAGACCACACUGCAGGACUGCUCCAUCAGAGACUACCAUGGCCACUAGCAUGGGUCCCAGUCUCCACGUACAGCUUGUACUGCAGAGCCUGGGCACUGGACAUUGCUGCUUCUGUGAGCUCGCCUGAAGGUGGCCAGGGACACAACUCAUUGGAUGUGGAGCUCUGCCAUCGUCUUAUAUUUAACCCUGGUUUCAGAGCUCUCUGUCUUACAAGAGAAAUGGGAAAAUAAAUUAUGCGGCUGCACCUUGCCAGGUACAAUGGUAAGGAAAACUAAAGGGAGAUCUAGAAACCAGCCUGACAUAUUAAAGAGGGCUUCUGCAGAGGUGAGCUUAGUCUGAAUUAUGGAAGAACUUUCCAGGCAGAUACAAAUGCAAAGGCCCUGCAGUGUGAGGAGCUAACCACACACAAGGAUGGAGAGCAGUUCAUAGUGACUGGAGCCCAGGGUGCAGCUAAGGAGCUGGAGAGGGGGAAAGGCCAUACCAGGGAGAGCCUCAUACCAAAGAGUUUGGACCAUUAAAGGAUUCUAGGAAGUUCAAGCUGGAGACAGCAAGGAAGAUGUAUUGGAAGUGGGUGAGAGAGGGUAUGGAAGAUGGUUAAGACACUCUUGGAGUAAUCAAAUGAAAAAUAAUGAAGGUAGAAACUAAAGCAGGGAUAAAAAGGAUGGCACUGACUCUAGAUAUGUUGAGUGAAAUAGAUGGCAUUUGGGGACAAAUAGAUUACAGUACUAGGGAGAGGGAUUUGAGACUAGGAUAAUUCCCAGUCUCUUAGAUGGUGAGGUGAUUGGUGUUGCCACUGAGUACAGAAAGGAAGGAAGUAGAGGAAUGGAAUCAGAUUUAGACAGUUAGGGAUAUUUUGAAGUUGUGAUGUCUAAGGAAGCCCAGUGAAGGUGUACAGUACGUGAUAGGAAAUACGAAGCUGAAAAUCAACCAGAGGUUUGGAAGUAGCCAGGAACCCUAAUUAGAAGAACUACAUACGGACUCUGUCCUGAUGGCUUAAAACCCUGCAGUCUCAACUAAGUGGGUUCUUUCCAUCCCUCCUGUGUGCCAAGCAAUCUUACAUUGUGCAUACAAAGAUACCUUGAAAAUAUCUUUUUGAUCAAAUUUUCUUGAUGGUAGACCCCCCACCAUACCCAAGCAGAGGAUCAUUGUCUUCAACAUAUUAUGGAACAAGCCCAUGCUCAUAGAUCUGGUGCAGCCAUCUCUUGCCCUUCACUUUGUCCCA
rnacentral:lncRNA from 1 species